AGCUCAAAAUGGGUGGUAAAUUUCAUCUAAAGCUAAAUACUGGCCAGAGACCGAUAGCGCACAAGUAGAGUGAUCGAAAGAUGAAAAGCACUUUGGAAAGAGAGUUAAAAAGUACGUGAAAUUGUUGAAAGGGAAGCGCUUGCAAUCAGACUUGCUCGCGGGUGAUCAGCCCCCCUUCGCGGGGGGUGCACUCGCCCGCGAUCAGGCCAGCAUCGGUUUCGACGGGCGGAUAAAGGCCCCAGGAAUGUAGCUCCCCUCGGGGAGUGUUAUAGCCUGGGGUGCCAUGCGCCCAGUCGGGACCGAGGACCGCGCUUCGGCUAGGAUGCUGGCGUAAUGGUUGUAAGCGACCCGUCUUGAAACACGGACCAAGGAGUCUAACAUCUAUGCGAGUGUUUGGGUGGUAAACCCAUGCGCGGAAUGAAAGUGAACGGAGGUGGGAGCCCUUUUCGGGGGGCGCACCAUCGACCGAUCCAGAUGUCUUCGGAUGGAUUUGAGUAGGAGCAUAGCUGUUGGGACCCGAAAGAUGGUGAACUAUGCCUGGAUAGGGUGAAGCCAGAGGAAACUCUGGUGGAGGCUCGCAGCGGUUCUGACGUGCAAAUCGAUCGUCAAAUCUGGGUAUAGGGGCGAAAGACUAAUCGAACCAUCUAGUAAAAUCACUACUAGAGAUACUACACGAAAAGGGGCUGAUAAAAAGGCCUCUGUAGUCCCCCGUUGCUGGGGGGCAACAUCGCCGGUCUCCGG
rnacentral:rRNA from 1 species